GAUUAAAAGUCCAGACUUUUAUGUCUAUAUUUGAGUUUCUGGGCUGGGAAGUUGGUCUGUGUUUGUACAAAUCCGUGUUCCGAGCCAUAACAUAAUGGAACUCUUCUGUAAUGUCCCAGCCCACUCCCUACCUUUUUCAGAAACACCAGCCAGAAAGGACAACCCUCGGCAAAUCCUACAAACCCUCCCCACUUGCAAGGAUUCACACGGAUCCCACAACUUUUCAGCCUUCCGUGACUUUUACCACUCUUCUGGAGCUAACCACUUUUAAUGGGGCCCCCCCCCCCCCCCAGGAACAAUCACUCCUCUUCUCAGCUUUACACUUUGUCCCGGCAGCAAUCGGCUGAGCCGUCCCCCGUCUCCGGCCAGCUCCGACGACCAUAGACUCCUUCACCCGUUUGCUACCCGUCGGGACCCCGAAGGCUCCGGUUCCUGCCCCAAUUCCCUGAGCCAGCCGCCCCCCAAGCCUCCCUCAACCCCCAAAUCCCGGGCAAAACAUCACCGGGUUCCCCGUUGUCCUACGCGCUCCGGAUCCGCGCGGGGUACACGUCGCCCCUUCCCCCCCCCCCUGGACCCCGCUCUCCCUACCUAACCCCUCCCUGAGGCAGGGGGGUGGGGAGGGCAAAGCUCUCCGCGGCUGGACUGAGACUCGGGAGGCCAAGCGUCCCCCUCAGCAGGCCCCGCCUGGGCCUCUCGGCUCGGCUGCCCUCCACUGCCCCCCUGGCCCCGCCGUGCUUAUGCCGAAGAGCAGGGCAACACGAACCCAGGGCUCGGCACUUACUCGGGAAGAGUUUCCACCUGCUAAGACUCCUUAAUGACUGACCAAAACUGAGACUGAACUGUGAGCACCUGAGGGCUUUCCUGUGGAGCUCGGAGGGGAGUGGCGCAAAGGACUUUUCUUACAAGCCGAGGUGCCUUGUGACAAAGCUUGGUUAGAUAUUAUAUAUGGCUUCUGGUGAUUACCUGCCAGACUUUGUCAUGGUAACCAUCUAACCAGAAGAGCAAGGUACAAGUACAUGGGCAACUUCCAAAUCAGAGCCUCUGCACAGGCUUAAUCCAGGUAUCUUGAAACUUUGGAAAAUCCUAAAUAUAAACAGAACUGUGAGAUCCUAGAGAAGCCAGACUGGAAACUGGAAUUUGCAGUUUGAAACAAAUGGAAGUUGGACGGAGGGAGUUCAGAACACAGAUCAAGGCAUGGACCUCCUUCUCUGGGAUUCUCCCUCCCUAGGAUUCUCCUAUUCCUUCGAUUCUAUCAAGUAUUCAGUGACACAGUGCUGUACCACAGGUUGAUGUAAGCACAGGACUGCAUUUGAAGCUUCCCUUGCUGUUGGGUGCGACCAUAUGACUGGAUAGAAAAAAUGUGAGCAGAGCUUAGGUGCACCACUUCUAGGUCCAGCCUAUAAGGAUCUCUCCGCGCAACCCUCUAUGUUCUUUCCCUGUCAGCAGGAUGUCAACACCUACAGUAACCUCAUAAGCCACAUGCUGAAGAUGGCAGAAUUACAAGAUGGAAGGGCCUGGUUCCUUGAACAACACUUGGAAGAG